UUGAUUAAAGAUGGCGGCAAGAUGACCAGAGACUGAUAUAUAGCAGAAUCAGAAAAGUCGAGCAGAUCUACGUGUGGCAAGACCUCAUUUUUCUAAUUCCACAACUUACUCUAUCGAACAACUGCUCUUUGCGGAGGUUGGCAAUGCCACCACAGAAGAGGGAGGAGCCAAGGACAAGCAGCAGGUUGGAGAGGAUGGAACCCACAAGGGAGCACUUAACCACCUCGAUCUUCCCCCCGUACAAUGCGAAUAUAGCUAUGAUCAACUCUGUGGCAUUCCCGCAU
rnacentral:lncRNA from 1 species